UGAGGAAUAUUGCGCAAUGGGCGAAAGCCUGACGCAGCAACGCCGCGUGAGGGACGAAGGCCUUCGGGUCGUAAACCUCUUUUCUGGGGAAAGAGACAGGACGGUACCUCAGGAAUAAGUCUCGGCUAACUACGUGCCAGCAGCCGCGGUAAAACGUAGGAGGCGAGCGUUAUCCGGCUUUACUGGGCGUAAAGAGCACGCAGGCGGCUUCGUAAGUCGGAUGUGAAAGCUCCCGGCUUAACUGGGAGAGGCCAUUCGAUACUACGAGGCUUGAGGUUGGGAGAGGGGUGUGGAAUUCCGGGUGUAGUGGUGGAAUGCGUAGAUAUCGGGAGGAACACCUGUGGCGAAAGCGGCACCCUGGCCCACACCUGACGCUGAGGGGCGAAAGCGUGGGGAGCAAACAG
rnacentral:rRNA from 1 species